rnacentral:rRNA from 1 species
GGGGGUCGCACUGAGACGCAGCCUAACUCCCCACCCUUUUUUACCUGUUGCUUUGGCAGAUGCAAGUCUGCCAGGCUUAAACUCUGUGUUUUGUUGUCUGAGUGUGGCUUUUGGAAUGUUAAAACUUUCAACAAUGGAUCUCUUGGCUCUGGCAUCGAUGAAGAACGCAGCGAAAAGCGAUAUGUAAUGUGAAUUGCAGAAUUUAGUGAAUCAUCGAAUCUUUGAACGCACAUUGCGCCCUGUAGCAUUCUACAGGGCAUGCCUGUUCGAGUGUCAUUUCACCCUCAAGCAUAGCUUGGUCUUGAAUCUAGUCGUACGACUGAUUUUAAAAAUAGUAGUGGCUUCGUAGGUGCUAAACGUAGUAACUUUCGUUCCAGCGCCUCAUCUUAGCUGCGAAAUGGACUUUUUGUAGUUGACCUCGAAUCAGGUAGGGAUACCCGCUGAACUUAAGCAUAUCAAUAAGCGGAGGAGGAUCAUUACAGAGUGAGGCGCAGGCCGGAAGGCCCCACCCUUUUUUACCUGUUGCUUUGGCAGAUGCAGGUCUGCCGGCUUAAACUCUGUGUGUUGUUGUCUGAGUGUGGGCUUUUGGAAUGUUAAAACUUUCACAAUGGAGCCUUGGCUCUGGCUCAUGAAAAAGCAGCGAAAAGCGAUAUGUAAUGGGAAUUGCAGAAAUUUUGGUGAAAUCAU